CGUAGGUGGCAAGCGUUGUCCGGAAUUAUUGGGCGUAAAGCGUACGCAGGCGGUUUCUUAAGUCUGAUGUGAAAGCCCACGGCUCAACCGUGGAGGGUCAUUGGAAACUGGGGAACUUGAGUACAGAAGAGGAGAGUGGAAUUCCACGUGUAGCGGUGAAAUGCGUAGAGAUGUGGAGGAACACCAGUGGCGAAGGCGACUCUCUGGUCUGUAACUGACGCUGAGGUACGAAAGCGUGGGGAGCGAACAGGAUUAGAUACCCUGGUAGUCCACGCCGUAAACGAUGAGUGCUAAGUGUUAGAGGGUUUCCGCCCUUUAGUGCUGCAGCAAACGCAUUAAGCACUCCGCCUGGGGAGUACGGUCGCAAGACUG
rnacentral:rRNA from 1 species